AGUGAACGCUGGCGGUAGGCCUAACACAUGCAAGUCGAACGGCAGCACAGUAAGAGCUUGCUCUUACGGGUGGCGAGUGGCGGACGGGUGAGGAAUACAUCGGAAUCUACUUUUUCGUGGGGGAUAACGUAGGGAAACUUAGGCUAAUACCGCAUACGACCUACGGGUGAAAGCAGGGGAUCUUCGGACCUUGCGCGAUUGAAUGGGCCGAUGUCGGAUUAGCUAGUUGGCGGGGUAAAGGCCCACCAAGGCGACGAUCCGUAGCUGGUCUGAGAGGAUGAUCAGCCACACUGGAACUGAGACACGGUCCAGACUCCUACGGGAGGCAGCAGUGGGGAAUAUUGGACAAUGGGCGCAAGCCUGAUCCAGCCAUACCGCGUGGGUGAAGAAGGCCUUCGGGUUGUAAAGCCCUUUUGUUGGGAAAGAAAAGCAGCAGGUUAAUACCCCGCUGUUCUGACGGUACCCAAAGAAUAAGCACCGGCUAACUUCGUG
rnacentral:rRNA from 1 species